rnacentral:rRNA from 1 species
UGGGGAAUAUUGCGCAAUGGGGGAAACCCUGACGCAGCGACGCCGCGUGCGGGAUGAACGCCUUCGGGUUGUAAACCGCUUUUGAUUGGGAGCAAGCUUUCGGGUGAGUGUACCUUUCGAAUAAGCGCCGGCUAACUACGUGCCAGCAGCCGCGGUAAUACGUAGGGCGCAAGCGUUAUCCGGAAUUAUUGGGCGUAAAGAGCUGUUAGGCGGUUCGUCGCGUCUGGUGUGAAAGCCCAUCGCUUAACGGUGGGUUUGCGGCGGGUACGAGUGGUUUACAGGGCAGUAGGGGGGACUGGAAUUCCCGGUGUGACGGUCGAAUGUGUAGAGAUCAAGAAGAAAACCAAUGGCGUAGGCAGCUCUGUGGGCAGUUACUGACGCUGAAAAGCGAAAGCGUGGGGAGCGAACAGG